AAAAAUAGGUGGCCUCAGGAGGAACUGAGGAUGUGGUCUGUCAGCUUCCUGCUCCCGCUGCUGUUCCUGUUCCUGCUGCUUGCUGCUGUGCCUCCCUUCCACAAUGGACGAUGACGGACAGAUAUCCCUCUGCAGCCACGAGCCAAAUUAAACUCUCUCUUCCUGAAGUCGCCUUUGGCUGUGGUGUUUUAUCACAGCAACAGAAAAGUAACUAGUGCAUUGCCCUCGGGACAAAUGGCAAGAUCUGUCACAAGCUCAAGAACAACAAUCAAAUCUUUGUACUUAAUGCUCUUGCACCAAAUAUCCUGUUGAUUAUCUGAUAGGAAAAUGGGGAGGGGAGAAGAAGACAAAGAAAUUAACUGUAGCACACACUCGAUCCCUGGAAAAAUAAAACCAAACACUGAAAACUCAGGUAAGAGGCUUUUGACAC
rnacentral:lncRNA from 1 species